rnacentral:rRNA from 1 species
GACGAACGCUGGCGGCGUGCUUAACACAUGCAAGUCGAACGGAAAGGCCCUGCUUUUGUGGGGUGCUCGAGUGGCGAACGGGUGAGUAACACGUGAGUAACCUGCCCUUGACUUUGGGAUAACUUCAGGAAACUGGGGCUAAUACCGGAUAGGAGCUCCUGCUGCAUGGUGGGGGUUGGAAAGUUUCGGCGGUUGGGGAUGGACUCGCGGCUUAUCAGCUUGUUGGUGGGGUAGUGGCUUACCAAGGCUUUGACGGGUAGCCGGCCUGAGAGGGUGACCGGCCACCUUGGGACUGAGGUACGGCCCAGAAUCCUACGGGAGGCAGCAGUGGAGAAUAUUGCACAGUGGGCGGAAGCCUGAUGCAGCAACGCCGCGUGCGGAAUGACGGCCUUCGGGUUGUAAACCGCUUUCGCCUGUGACGAAGCGUGAGUGACGGUAAUGGGUAAAGAAGCACCGGCUAACUACGUG